rnacentral:rRNA from 1 species
CCCUUAGAUGUUCUGGGCCGCACGCGUGCUACACUGAGUGGAUCAGCGGGUCAGGUUGCGCGAAAGUGUUUCCUAAUCUUGAAAUCCGCUCGUGAUGGAGAUUGACGGUUGCAAUUUUCCGUCAUGAACGAGGAAUACCUUGUAAGCGCGGGUCAUCAUCCCGCGCUGAAUACGUCCCUGCCCUUUGUACACACCGCCCGUCGCUCCUACCGAUUGAGUGGUCCGGUGAGGCUUUGGGAUCUGAGCGGAAAGAGCGUUUCGCUGUUUCUGCUCGGAAAACUCAGUCGAACCUUAUCAUUUAGAGGAAGGAGAAGUCGUAACA